rnacentral:lncRNA from 1 species
CUCUCUGUCCUGCUUGUCAGGAAUCAGCAUGAUCAUGAGCUGUGGUUAGACAUGAUGGUUUACAAAAUUCUAUUGAACCUGGCAUGAAAAAAAAAAGUCUCGGGAAAUAUUCUUUUUAAGUUUUCAGUUAUUUCAGAACCUUACUAAAAUAUACUGCUACUUGCUUUUAAAGUCGGUUUUGCGCACAUACGUCUUUUGUUGCUUUCAGGUUCUCCCAUCCUCUGUUUGUAGAAAUGGGACAGACACCAUCUACAAUGUAAGCACAAAGAAUUGCCAAAUGUCUUAAGUUCAUAGAUGUCUUCAUAGAAGUGAUACUAUUAUAUUUUUCUCUUUCUCUAUUUUCCCGAAGUUUUUUUUUCUGAAAAAGUUUUUUUUUUUAAAGAAGAUUGGGUGAUUGAGAAAAAUCCUUUUUGUCUCUUUGCCUUGAUGCUGUCUUUUAAAUGCUUAUUAUCAUUAUUAAAAGGUUUGUGUACUUUCUCAGUGUUUAUUUUUCUCUCAUUGUUUUUGUUUGCUGUUUUCCUCAAGUACCAUGGUAUAGUUUCCUUGAAACUAGAGGGCGACAGAUUCUCAGCUCACAAACGGAAGGCCAAAAUAUCCAUUGUUAGUCAGCCACAGAGGACAAUCAAGGUGGCAGAGCUGCCUCUAGCUGAUAAGGUGGAAUCCACAACUGAUUUGCACUUUCUCAGACAGGUAUGGAAAUCUUCCUUCCUUCCUGUUUGCCUUCCAGCAAGCUGUUCCCUGGGCCACAAACACACUUCAUUCACAAAAUGGACCCCAAGUUGGGGGACAGUUUACUUGACACAGAUGUUGUACUGUAGAUGAAGACCCAAGGAAGGAAACUGCUAUCAGCUUGCGUGAAAUCAAUUCUAAUCUGCCACUCUUGCCUACAGGGUCUGCGGCCCUUGUUUCCAAAGAAUUGUUCUGUGGACUUAAAGGGACUCUUUCAUUUUGAAGAAAGCACCCACAGAUUGUAUCAAUGUGAUGGGAUCUCCUGGAAAGCCUGGAGCCCCCAAACCAAGGUGGGACAUUGGCUAUAGCUAAGCACCUUUAAUGAGCAAUAUGCCAUUUAAUGAGCUUACAGCGUGAUUCAAUGUGUGAUUCUCAAAUCGCACAUGUCUUUUCUUAUUAUACCUAGAAAGCCAUGAGGGAAACAUGGUACGAAGUGACUUUUUAAGAUCCAAAGUAUAAAGCCAGGUGGUGGUGGUACCUGCUUUGAAUUCCUGCAGAGACAGGUAGAUCUCUGAGUUUGAAGUCAGCCUGAUCUAUAGAGUGAGUUUCAGGACAGCCUGAACUACACAGAGUCUGGGGGAAUAAACAACAGCAACAACAAGAUCCACAAUAUAGUAUUAGACCAGUCGAUUUUGUUUAGUUAUCAGAAUGUCAGUGGUAUAACAUUGAACCAUUUCUGACUGAGGUAGUCCUUUCAGUAAGAAGUCAUUUAUUUCUUAAGAUGAGAAAUUACAGCGAGGGCUUCCUCUGCUUCGCUGAAGUGAGAAGGCUCACAGGCUUGUACUAUGAGGCCGACUUCAGAUGAUCAAGUCCAUUCCGGGGUGAACACGCACAACUGUCUUGCAGGGGCUGGAGGACAGAUCCUGCCCAGGUGGAUGGCUCCUUCAUUCUGGCUACUGUCACAUCUUGGUCACAAGACAGAAAGGCACCUGGACCACAGCUACCCGAGCUUGCAGAGAACAGUAAGGAACCCGACAUCACACGUGCCUGCCGUUUUCCUUAUUUUCACAUGGAAAUGUAGGCCUGCAUAAGUCAUUGAAUAAGUAUUGAACGUCUACUGUCUGUCCAGCUUUGUCUAAGGAGCCUAAAGGGAGUUUGUAGUUUGGAAUGGAUUUGUGGCUGACUUUGAUACUUCUGUCUGCUAAGGUCUUUGCUGUUAUGGCUAUACUGGUGUCACACUCUUUUCUGUUUCCUUUUAUUUCCACGUUUUAAAGAAAAAGUCUAACAACUUUCCUGAGUUAGCAGCAUGGUGGCUUCUGAUAUUUUCUCAUCUCUCUUUGUUCCCCCUUCAAAUGACAGACAUCCAUGCCUAUUGAUUUUAAAGUACCUGGUAAUAAAAGGCCUUGGCAUCCAGCCUCUGGCAGUGCAGGAGGCACGGAUGCCCAUAAAGCCAGGCGAGUAGGACAAAGGCUCACUGGGUAACAGUCAAUAAAAGAUGACUUGUGGUCAGAUAAUGACAACAAAAUCCAUCUGAUCCAGAAGGAGUUUGAAAAUGCAUAUGUAGCAGUCCUUGACCAACCUUUUUAUUUGAUAACCUGGAUAUUAUCCAAACAAUGCAAUUACACUAAUAUGCAUGCAUUCUUGUUGAAAUUGAGACUUCAGUAAUUUCUAGUUAAUAUUGAUCAUAUCCUAUACUUUAUCAAAUUUAAAAGGGUUGUGCUCAUCAAAGGACACCAUUAAGAAAAUGAAAGGUAAACCAUAU